AACGCGAAGAACCUUACCAAGUCUUGACAUCUGGAUGACCGGUCCGUAACGGGGCCUUUCCUUCGGGACAUCCAAGACAGGUGGUGCAUGGUUGUCGUCAGCUCGUGUCGUGAGAUGUUGGGUUAAGUCCCGCAACGAGCGCAACCCUUAUCCUUAGUAGCCAGCAGGUAGAGCUGGGCACUCUGGGGAGACUGCCAGGGAUAACCUGGAGGAAGGUGGGGAUGACGUCAAAUCAUCAUGCCCCUUAUGAUUUGGGCUACACACGUGCUACAAUGGCGUAAACAAAGGGAGGCGAAGCCGUGAGGUGGAGCGAACCCCAAAAAUAACGUCUCAGUUCGGAUUGUAGUCUGCAACUCGACUACAUGAAGCUGGAAUCGCUAGUAAUCGCGAAUCAGAAUGUCGCGGUGAAUACGUUCCCGGGUCUUGUACACACCG
rnacentral:rRNA from 1 species